rnacentral:lncRNA from 1 species
UCUCACAGUGGAAUUGUUACGUGCAUCAACAGACAUGCUCUCAUGGAUAAAAGAUGAGAUCGGGAAGGAUCGAGUCACGUCUCGAACGUCUCACUCCACGAACAAACAUUGUUUUUUAAUUCUCACCAUUACAGUUAGCUACAUACAAAUGUAACUCCUUUCCUGAUAAUAUUGUAACCAUCCAAGAACCCUCUGGUUUCACUUACUUAAACCCAUAACACCUGCUUUCUUGUUUUAUAUUUUUGUUUGUGUUUUGUAUAAUGUUGUACUUGCUCCCCCUACCCCUUAGGUAAAGCCCUAUGGGCGCUUUAAGGGUAUAAUAAAUGAUAUGAGCUACCUGCAGGCUUCUUAACAUGGAUGUCGGACAGCAUUUUCAUGGGAGCAGGCACCGUGAGCUUGGUUCCAGCACCGUCUCUCUUCGACAGCUUCACGGCUCACAUUUCCUGGCGGGCCGAGAGCUCAACAAUUGACAUAUUGACAAACCUAUCCACAUUCUUCGACGAGCCGGGCAGGCAGAAAACAUGGGAAACCUACCGUGGCAUCUUUCCCGCCCCUUCUGGUGCAUCCCUAGUCGUGGCUUUUUGACAAGGCAGAUUUUAGUCUGCUUUCUUCCAACACAACACGAGAAUGCCCGUCUCACAUGGCGACUUCCACCCACACCCGACCGGAAGUGUGCCCGAAGCACCACCGCCGUGACGUGACGUAACAGUGUUGAGCUGGUGCGUGCACUUGUGUAAAAAACGUUUGUAUUGUUUGUCAUUUACUGUAUUUAUUCAUUGGUCUUCUAUCUUCUCUGAGAAACCUUCGACUAGCAUUCAUACUGCAGGUAACUGGUGUACCGGAUCCUUUAUUGCAAUUGAAUGCCCGGCCAACAAGGUCCGGUCGAUUUGUGAACCAGUGCCAUUACCCCUCACUAGCACUUAAAGCCAUCUGUGACUGCAACAAGCGGUUUCUGGAUAUAACCGGGGGACAUUCAAAUAAGGUUCAUGACGCUAGGGUAUUUAGGACUUACAGCAUCGUGAACAAGCUCUCGCAAAUCUGCCGUAGGGGCCAGUACCACAUCCUGGGUGACGCGGCCUACCCUUUGAGAGAGUACCUGAUGACUCCUUUCAGAAACUAUGGGUCCCUCACUAAAAGAAGAAGGACAUCAAUGGGAAGUUCUCAAGUACACGCGUGCUCAUCGAAAUGUGUUUGCUGAUCUGAAAAAAAGUUUCAGGCAGCUGAAGCUAUGCGAGUUCUUUACUGUUGAUCAUGCAACAAGGUUCAUCACUGCCAUGUUGCAUCCUCCAUAAGAUCUGCAUUGAGGCCGGAGAAGGUGAUGUUGUCCAGGUGCCAGAGGACGAGGCCAGCAGCGUCCCAGACAAUGAAUCGCUGGAGGAGUUUGGGCUACUGAUGGCUUUAGAUUCUGUUCUCCACAUACUGGCGGAAGAAAAGAGGGACAGGGUGAUUGCCCAAAUGGGGCUGAGAAAAGCCCCAUUUGCCGAGAUAAGCCCUCGGCCGGUUUGCUAGAGCAGUGUCUCGGCUGAGGCUGGGUGAAAGAAAGCACUGCACUUCUCAAGCAUCUUGAGAAGCGGCUCGAGGACGUAAGACGACAUAUCGCACACUUUUGGCACUGCGGGUCGCCCCUGUAGGUGGAGGAGGUUUCCGCUUCGUCUGGUUAAAAUAUGGCGCACUGAUAUUUAGUUACUCUCUCCGUGCUCGCUGGCUUGCCCUAACCCCAAGAGACGUGGAAACCGCAAAGAGGUAGAUGCUUAAAUACGGUUGCAAGGCUCCUUUAAGGCCAAUUUCUCCAAACUUCUUCAUUAUCCUACGAGGAAAACUGAAUUUACAUGGUUUCUAUAGGUCACGAAGACAGAGGGGAUGAUUUGGAAGUGACGAAUGUACCUUUAUUUUUAACAGCAAGUUGUACCUCCUUGCCGAGAGCCUGGUUCUGUUCUGGAUUAUAACAUAGAUAUGGGUAGCUCUGCGCUUCCAUGAAUAUUUACGGUGCUACCCAAUAGUAGACUUCAGCAGAACUUGCCAGAUUGUCACGAAUCGGGACUUAAAGGAGCAAACAACCAAGAAAUCUUUUCUUUACAUUUAGUGUGCAAAUAUUCGGUUUUGAAUAUUUAGUGUAUUGUUGCGUGUCACUUGGAAACCUGGCAACAUGAAUAGGUUAAUAAAUCUCCAUCUUGUGAUAUGACCAAUAUUAAUGCCCAACUCUAUUUUAAUGUAGGAGAGUCAUGUGCAAGUAAUUUUAUUGGGUGGUCCGUCAUCCAUAAGCUUACAAAACUGUGGGUACAUCCUGGGUUCCAAUUGGUAAUGCAGGAUAUGUGAGCUAAUGAACAUCUUCUCCUGCUGCUGCUUCUUCAGUGUAGGAUGGACAAGCCAUUUGCAGUUAUCAAAUUUCCGGACAAGGAAGACUGCCUGGCAGUCAUGCCAGUGACCUGGCUUUCAAAACUAAGACGUGUUUGCCUGGCCACUGCAUAUUAAGGGGUCCAGGGUGUCCUCCAUGGUGGAAUAGGAGGUGCCACCAGGCAUCAUUGGUAGUGGGUGAGAGAUGUUCCCAUGUACUGUCAUCAUUUUACAGUAUUUAUUUUGUACCUUUUUUCUCUGGAUGAUUUUGUGAAGACGAUUAAGUUCUACCCAUCCAAAAAUUAGUAAUUGUGAGGACUUUUUUGAUAUUGUUCAGGACAUUUGCAGUAAAUGCAAUCUAAUUUAUAGUUUCUAAAGUCCCUAUACUCAUUGAUGACACAACUAAAAACAUUUUGCACGUAUUACAAUGGAGAGGAGGUGAACAAGCAGCACAAAAUAACCAGAAACUACCGAUUUGUUCGUGCUUUUGUGCCUACGUAACAAUGUUGCCAGUACUUCGCAGUCUGCAUUUUUCACGAAUGGUAAACAUUGAGAUUGUCGAAGUUAUGCUGUUAUGAUUACGGUUCUGCGUUUUCGGUUUUUAUUUUUCUUGAAUUCGGCAUACUUUUUUCGGUUUUCAUUGAAAUUUUUCGGCUUUUGACAAGGAGAAUAUAUAUACAAGCGAAACUUUAGCGUCUUUUCUUUUCUGUGAAUAUGUAUUGACCUCACACUUUUCUAGCUUGUUUGUCCAAACUUAAUUAUUGCACGCCGCACGGCAGCACUUGCAGAUAUGAGAAGCAGAUUCGCGGCUUUUUCUUAUUAGGUGCCCCCUUUCAGAAAAAUAUCUAUGAUAUACACUACAACAAUCCAAGCACAAUAUUAAGAAAAGGACAGGAGACAAUUGGCAUACAAAAACUGGAUCACGAAGGCGAAAAAUUCUAUCCAGACGACAAACGAAGCUAAACACCCUAAAUGCCAACAGAGCACUUCGCUGUCAUGUAGACAAGCUGACUAUAGUCAUGUGCCGACAAAUACCCCCCCUCCCUCCCUCCGUUGCCAUUCCCAACUUUGCAUGCAAUGCCGCUCUAAAAUACUUGCCUUUUCGGUUAAAACCGAAUGUCGGAAAAGGAAUCCAGCAUACUUCACCGGUUCUUAUUGGGUGAAACUGAAAACAAUGAACCCUGAUAUUGGUGUGUUCUAAUAUUUGCUUUCAGGGACCUAUCAAAAGGCACUGAAAAAGACAAAAAGACUGGUCAACAGCUCAACCGUAGAAACGGAGGUUUCGGGUAAUACAAAUAGUCAUAAAAAGGAGCUGGGAGCGAAGUAAUGCGAUAUUCGACAUGGAUGUAUAUUUCUUUAAUUUUUCUAGCCCAUGAGGAAGAGGCACAUCCAGCAUUUGGAGUGCCGUCACCAUGAACAGCUUUCCAAAGACCUGCUUUCACAGCUGCCUUCUGCGGGUUGCACAGAUAGCAGUUGAGACCGCAACUGGGAAGGCUGUGCGAAGACAUUUAGACUUUACGGCUCAUUCCACAACGUAUC